CAGUGGUACAACUAAACGAAAUUAAUAACUAGCUUAAAUCUAAAAUAGGCCCCUGAGGCAUUGUACCAAGGAUGCUGGCGGCAUUUCCCCGCUGUAUCGCAAUACUGAUACGAACUAAAGACACCCCGUCGGGCCUCUUGCCAUCAUCUCUGAUAAUGCCAGUCGGCUCAAGAAGAGCAGGCACAUUGAUGGUGGCAAGAGACCGACGGAUUAUGUCAUUAAGCGACGCGUGUCUCGAAAAACGGCCUGCACUUUUUUGACAAGAUAAUCCGUGGUGUCCCAGUCGGUCCACGUCUGUGCCACAAGAGCAUAUGUGUGGCGUACACACCGAAACCCCGAGUCGCAAA